AAAAAAGUAAACCAUGGGUUCCCGUGCCAACGUUUGACCGUCCGUCUUAUAUGAAAUUUUUUUAUAAUUACUAUUAUCGUUAUUGUUAGAUGAUAAAACAUGAUUAAUACUUUAUACGUGACUUAUCUUUUUAAUUUUUUUUAUAAUUUUUUCAAAUAAGACGGACGGUCAAACGUUGGACACGAAAACCAGGGUUUGUCUUUUU
rfam:Oryza sativa Japonica Group DNA, chromosome 12, cultivar: Nipponbare, complete sequence.